GACAAACGCUGGCGGCAUGCCUAACACAUGCAAGUCGAACGGACAGAACAGGGAAGCUUUUCGGAGUGGAACUGGAAAGUUAGUGGCGGAUGGGUGAGUAACGCGUGGACAACCUACCUUGUAAAGGGGAAUAACCUCGAGAAAUCGAAGCUAAUACCCCAUAAUAACCUUGCUUCGCAUGAAGUAAGGAGGAAAGGCGGCCUUAGCGCUGUCGAUACAAGAUGGGUCCGCGUCUGAUUAGCUAGUUGGUGAGGUAAAGGCUCACCAAGGCGACGAUCAGUAGCCGGCCUGAGAGGGUGAACGGCCACAUUGGGACUGAGACACGGCCCAAACUCCUACGGGAGGCAGCAGUGGGGAAUCUUCCGCAAUGGGCGAAAGCCUGACGGAGCAAUGCCGCGUGAGUGAAGAAGGCCUUCGGGUUGUAAAACUCUGUCCUUAUCGAAGAGAGAGUGUUGUAGUAACUGACAAUACUAGGACGGGAGAUGAGGAGGAAGCCCCGGCUAACUAUGU
rnacentral:rRNA from 1 species